rnacentral:lncRNA from 1 species
AGAGAGUAAAGAAUAUACUGUAAAUUCUCUACUUCUGUUCAUUCCCAAGGAUAUAAGAUAUGGUUGAGAAUUAAAGGUCAAAAGAGACUAAAACAGAAACAGCAAUGAUGAGAAUGUACAGAGACACCCUAUUUUAGACUCAUUUACUCUCCUCUCUCUCUUAUAAAAGUCUGCAUAUAGCCGACCCUAUUCCCUUAAAAUCCAACUAAAAAUAAAUGCACGUACCACAAAAUAAUAAUAAAACUAUAAUAAUAUAAAAGAAAAAGAGAUAAACAGAAAUAAAACCUUGUGAUUUACGUUAUCCUUAUAACUUCAGCCUGCUGCUUGAAUAUAUGUCCUUGACUUUUUGUUUCCUCUUAAUUCAUUAACUGAAUUUAUUAGCCUUCUUCUGCAAAAAAAAAAAGACCAACAUUAUUAUUUUCUAUACUGUAGGUAAUCUUGAAUACUGUCUGGUUUAAAAAAUAUUAUUUUCUUUGUUAGUUUGAUUCGGUACAGAGUUUAAAAAAAAAACUUUUUAAAUCUGUGAUCUGAAAAGCUUAGGGGCUAAAAAAUUUGUGGGAUAAUGACAUUUAUAUGCCUAUAAAAGUUUUUUAUGAAUAAAUGGAUAAAAUGAAAGAGUUUAAAGUCGAAUUAUUUUUAAAUUUAAAAAUAUUUUAUUUGUUUUGAAAUAUACUAAAAAGAAAAGUAACUCAUGAAAUGAAGGGAGUAUAAAAUAACUUAAUUUCUAUAUACUGAAUUUAAGAGAAAAAAAAUUACAUAAUCAGAUCACUUAAAUGUAUUACAUGUAGUCGUCCAUAAUAGACGAGAUCAGUAUAAUCAGUAAUCAAAAAAAUAAGACAGAUAACAUACUACAACAUCAUAAUACGAUGUAAUGAUAGUGUGAAAAUUCUUUACUAUCUGUGCAUAUAAGUUGAACCAAAAAAUUAAAACAAAUCAUAUGCAGAUUUGACCUGAAGUGAAAUUUAUAAAAUGGGGUAAGAAAAAACUUUGACUUAGAAGCAAAAGGAGCAGUUGGAGCAGUAAAAUCAAACGUAAGAAGUAGAAAAGACAUGUAAUAAUAAAACAUAAAUAAUGUAAAUUUGAUCUUUGAAUAGUUACCUCAAGAAUUCAAGAUUUGGUUUCUAACAACAUAAGAAGAGCUAGAGCUAGAAAUUUUCAGUUAAAAUGAGUAGAAGAAAGUGUAGAAGAAGCUUGAAUAUAAUAGUGAAACCAAAUAGUCCAAGAUUUGAUUUUUUUAGAAAAGAACAAACACCAAGAAAAAGCAAGCAAAAGAGAGUUCAAGAAUUAUCUUUUAUGAAACAGAGAAGAGCAAAACGAAACCUUUUUACAAACGAUUCUUUGCUGGAAAAUGUGAAUCUUGAAAGUGUGUUUUGGCUGACGAGAAAAGCAAAAGGAAUGAAGGAGAUAGGAGUUUAUAGAAAUGAAGCACCAACACAUACCUCAAGGGGAAUAAAUAGAG